UACGAAGGGGGCUAGCGUUGCUCGGAAUCACUGGGCGUAAAGGGUGCGUAGGCGGGUCUUUAAGUCAGGGGUGAAAUCCUGGAGCUCAACUCCAGAACUGCCUUUGAUACUGAAGAUCUUGAGUUCGGGAGAGGUGAGUGGAACUGCGAGUGUAGAGGUGAAAUUCGUAGAUAUUCGCAAGAACACCAGUGGCGAAGGCGGCUCACUGGCCCGGAACUGACGCUGAGGUGCGAAAGCGUGGGGAGCAACAGG
rnacentral:rRNA from 1 species